rnacentral:rRNA from 1 species
GGCCAGACUCCUACGGGAGGCAGCAGUGGGGGAUAUUGCACAAUGGGGGGAACCCUGAUGCAGCGACGCCGCGUGGGUGAAGAAGCGCCUCGGCGCGUAAAGCCCUGUCAGCAGGGAAGAAAAUGACAGUACCUGAAGAAGAAGCCCCGGCUAACUACGUGCCAGCAGCCGCGGUAAUACGUAGGGGGCAAGCGUUAUCCGGAUUUACUGGGUGUAAAGGGGGCGCAGACGGCGAUGCAAGCCAGGAGUGAAAGCCCGGGGCCCAACCCCGGGACUGCUCUUGGAACUGCGUGGCUGGAGUGCAGGAGGGGCAGGCGGAAUUCCUGGUGUAGCGGUGAAAUGCGUAGAUAUCAGGAGGAACACCGGUGGCGAAGGCGGCCUGCUGGACUGCAACUGACGUUGAGGCCCGAAAGCGUGGGGAGCAAACAGGAUUAGAUACCCCUGUAU